rnacentral:rRNA from 1 species
CAGCCGCCGCGGUAAUACCGGCGCCUCAAGUGGUAGUCGCUUUUAUUGGGCCUAAAACGUCGGUAGCCGGUCUGGUACAUUCGUGGGUAAAUCAACCCGCUCAACGGGUUGAAUUCUGCGAGCACGGCCAGACUUGGGACCGGGAGAGGUGUGGGGUACUCUCAGGGUAGGGGUAAAAUCCUGUCAUCCUGAGAGGACCACCUGUUGCGAAGGCGCCACACUAGAACGGAUCCGACGGUCAGGGACGAAACCUAGGGGCACGAACCGGAUUAGAUACCCGGGUAGUCCUAGGUGUAAACGCUGUGGACUUGAUGUUGGGGGCGCUCCGAGCGCUUUCAGUGUCGAAGCGAAGGUGAUAAGUCCACUGCCUGGGGAGUACGGUCGCAAGGCUGAAACUUAAAGGAAUUGGCGGGGGAGCACUGCAACCUGAGGAUUGUGCGGUUUAAUUGGAUUCAACGCCGGAAAACUCACCAUAGCCGACGGACAAAUGAAGGCCAGCGUAAUGAGCUUGCUGGAUUGUUCGAGAGGUAUUGCAUGGCCGUCGUCAGUUCGUACCGUAAGGCGUUCUGUUAAGUCAGAUAACGAACGAGACCCUCAUCCCUAUUUGCUAACCAGAUCUCCGGAUCUGACGCACUAUAGGGAGACCGCUGGCGCUAAGUCAGAGGAAGGCGAGGGCAACGGUAGGUCAGUAUGAUCCGAAUGCUAUGGGCUACACGCGCAAUACAAAGGACGGGACAAUGGGCUGCAACUCCGAGAGGAACGACGCUAUCCCGAAACCCGUUCGUAGUUCGGAUUGAG